CCUACGGGUGGCAGCAGUGGGGAAUAUUGGGCAAUGGGCGCAAGCCUGACCCAGCAACGCCGCGUGAAGGAAGAAGGCUUUCGGGUUGUAAAAUUCUUUUCUCAGGGACGAAGCAAGUGACGGUACCUGAGGAAUAAGCCACGGCGAACUACGUGACAGCAGCCGCGGUAAUACGGAGGUGGCAAGCGUUAUCCGGGUUUACUGGGUGUAAAGGGCGUGUAGGCGGGAAAGCAAGUCAGAUUAGAAAACCAUGGGCACAACCUGUGGCCUGCAUUUGAAACUGUUGUUCUUGAGUACUGGAGAGGCAGGCGGAAUUCCUAGUGUAGCGGUGAAAUGCGUAGAUAUUAGGAGGAACACCAGUGGCGAAGGCGGUCUGCUGGACAUCAACUGACGCUGAGGCGCGAAAGCGUGGGGAGCAAACAGGAUUAGAUACCCCAGUAGUC
rnacentral:rRNA from 1 species